UGAUGUGAGGGCAGUCUGGCUGCAACAUUCAUUAUCCUAUUGAUCAGAGUUGAUUCUGUUGACCUGGCUGGCUAGACAGGUCUCUGCUUUCUCACCACUCCUUGUGUGUCCCUCCAGAAAGUGUACAUUUGGUUGAAGAGGACUUUCCUGAGUAGAAAUGGAACAGUCUUGAAUUGGUUGAUUAGAUAUACAAGUAGCUGUGCUCCCUGCUAAAACCUCCAAACAAGCUCUCAAGAAUUAUGAUGUAGUAGUCAGAGAUAUAUUUAAUUCUGAGGCUAUUAUGUAGCAGCUGAAGAGUU
rnacentral:snRNA from 1 species